GACGAACGCUGGCGGCGUGCUUAACACAUGCAAGUCGAACGAAGAGCGAUGGAAGCUUGCUUCUAUCAAUCUUAGUGGCGAACGGGUGAGUAACGCGUAAUCAACCUGCCCUUCAGAGGGGGACAACAGUUGGAAACGACUGCUAGUACCGCAUACGAUCUAAUCUCGGCAUCGAGGAAAGAUGAAAGGUGGCCUCUAUUUAUAAGCUAUCACUGAAGGAGGGGAUUGCGUCUGAUUAGCUAGUUGGAGGGGUAACGGCCCACCAAGGCGAUGAUCAGUAGCCGGUCUGAGAGGAUGAACGGCCACAUUGGGACUGAGACACGGCCCAGACUCCUACGGGAGGCAGCAGUGGGGAAUCUUCCGCAAUGGACGAAAGUCUGACGGAGCAACGCCGCGUGAGUGAUGACGGCCUUCGGGUUGUAAAGCUCUGUUAAUCGGGACGAAAGGCCUUCUUGCGAACAGUUAGAAGGAUUGACGGUACCGGAAUAGAAAGCCACGGCUAACUACGUG
rnacentral:rRNA from 1 species